rnacentral:misc_RNA from 1 species
UGUAGGAGUGAGCCUGCUCGCGAUAGCGGUGUGUCGGUCAAAUCCGCUGUGACUGACACACCGCUAUCGCGAGCAGGCUCACUCCUACA